rnacentral:lncRNA from 1 species
ACUGUUAGCUAGACAAGUCUCUAUCUAGUAACACGUAUACUUUUGAGGGUAAAUGGAUGAAAACCCCCCUGAACUAUCACGCUAGUUGAAAUGUCCACCUUAAAUUAUUUUUUCAGCCAAUUUAACCGUUAGACUAUUUUAAAUGGUCAAUUUACCCCCUGCCGUUAGUUUUCAUGUAAUUCAUCCAAUUUUCCGUUAAAAAUAAUUAAAUCUUUAAAUAAAAAAGUAAAAAAAUAAAAAUAAAAAAUAAAAAAAACCCUAGCAAUCAACCUCUUCCCCACCCCAUCCCCCAAACCCUCUCGACAGCCACCUUGCCAGCCAAACAUCAUCUCUUCAUCGACUUCGUCUUGGCCCGUAAGAAUCCAGUAGAGAAUCUGCACAAGGUCACGCAUACCACCACCAUACCCAAACUAGGCUGCAAUAGGCAGGAGGUUGGAAGCGAGGGUGUUGGGGUGGUUGUGGUGGAGCCAAAACGCCCUGGAGGAGGAGGAGGAGACGCCAUUAAUCUUGUGAGUCCACCGCCCAUGACAUUCAAGUGGCUGUUGCAGCAUGCUUCAGAGGUGAGAUGAUUCGUACUAGCACUGGUUUCAUGAUGAAUUUCCUUUGCUCAACGAAUUUUGUGAGAUGGUGUGGGUGGGAAUUUUUUAUAGGGUCAUAAUUAUUAAAGAGAAUUUGUCGGAAGAUUUCAUUACUUGUAAUUACAUUCUUUCUUUCUUUCUUUCUUUCUUUCUUUCCUUCUUUGAAAUCUAUCUAUCCCAUCCUCUCCCUAAAUUAGAGUAAAACUUCCACCUCCAGAUAAGUAGGUUUUUUUUCUGGUUUUGGAGGUGAAAUUCCACCUUUUCCACAGCAACAUCCCAG